rnacentral:rRNA from 1 species
UACGAAGGGGGCUAGCGUUGUUCGGAUUUACUGGGCGUAAAGCGCACGUAGGCGGGUUGUUAAGUCAGGGGUGAAAUCCAGGAGCUCAACUCCAGAACUGCCUUUGAUACUGGCAACCUAGAGGCUGGAAGAGGUUAGUGGAAUUCCCAGUGUAGAGGUGAAAUUCGUAGAUAUUGGGAAGAACACCAGUGGCGAAGGCGGCUAACUGGUCCAGAUCUGACGCUGAGGUGCGAAAGCGUGGGGAGCAAACAGG